CUGUAAUAUUUGAUUUCCAAUUAUAACGACAAGGACAAGUUUACAGUUUUCUCUGCCUCACCACUACAGAGUUUAGUUAGCUUCUUUGCUAGCUGUAAAAGGCGUUAAGUGUUAAGUCUAUUUCACUAACCAGCUAAUAUCAGAAAUCAAACCACCAAGGUCAACGCAAGCCCAGCGGCGAUGAUGCUGCCGAGCUCCAGCUUGCUCCAUAUGAAGAGACUUCCACAAAUGCCGCCAGGAUAAUGGCUCCACAGCCCCUUCUACCUCUGACUGUUUCUGACGAUCUUGGAACAGAGAAACCAGCCCAGGGACUCCUGAGCAAACCAGCAAACCAGCAAACCAGGCUGCCAUCUUGUGUAACCAAGUGCAUGUAAAUAAUGUAGCUAAAGCAUAUACUACAAAUUGAAAACAUUUUUUGUAAGCUUGCCUUGCUUCUCUUUAAAAAAUGUAUAUAAAGUCAAUAAUUUAUCAUUGUUCUUUACUGUAGUAACUUUAACGUUAGAGAUUGAAGACAUUUGGCAUGCAAUGCAGCUGAAGUAACGUAGCUAACUAUUUUCUUGCUUAUUGUAUAGUGGAGGAUAAAAAGACCUGUAUGUCUAUGGACGUGUAAUUAUGUAGCUGAUCUGUGCAUGGACCCUAAAACGUUUGGUGUAAACAUUUGUUCAGAACAGUGGUUAUAAUUGCUUUCAGUGGUUAAUCAUUAAUCCCCCAAAAAUUGCAGAAAAUGACUGAGUGGAGGAAAAGCAACCAUUACAUGUCAAACUGCUAUAAUGGAAUGAAAGUCCUGCUUCAAUACGACUCCACAUUGAACCACAGCCAGAAGAUGGGUACAUUAAGGGCACAUUGAACCACAGCCAGAAGAUGGGUACAUUAAGGGCACAUUGAACCACAGCCAGAAGAUGGGUACAUUAAGGGCACAUUGAACCACAGCCAGAAGAUGGGUACAUUAAGGGCACAUUGAACCACAGCCAGGAGAUGGGUACAUUAAGGGCACAUUGAACCACAGCCAGAAGAUGGGUACAUUAAGGGCACAUUGAACCACAGCCAGAAGAUGGGUACAUUAAGGGCACAUUGAACCACAGCCAGAAGAUGGGUACAUUAAGGGCACAUUGAACCACAGCCAGAAGAUGGGUACAUUAAGGGCACAUUGAACCACAGCCAGAAGAUGGGUACAUUAAGGGCACAUUGAACCACAGCCAGAAGAUGGGUACAUUAAGGGCCCAUUGAACCACAGCCAGAAGAUGGGUACAUUAAGGGCACAUUGUUGUUCCGCUGUUCUCAUUUGUUGCUCAUAUGGCCAGUGUGUAUAUGGUGUAUGAGAAAUAUAAGGAAAGCCAUUACUGUUAAGCUUUGGCAGCUUCUGCUGUGAUGUAGUGAUGUCCCAUUCCCUUGGGUUAUUUGAGGGACACCCCCACAGAGGAACACUGAAAAUGUGGGAGAGGGGCGGGGGGAUUGGGAUUGAGCCGUAGUGAAAGAUGAAACUGAAGGGAAUGGUGUAGCUGAUAUGUAUUGUACAAGCAUUGUAUUGGUUUGCUUUACAAAACAUAUUUCUAUAUAUGUAUUCUAAUACCUACAAAUGCCUCAUGAACUUGAACCCGACCUUGACAAAUUGGAUGUGUAACAUGCUUUGUCUUAUUAUUGCAGAUUUGCAAUGU